CUUGAUGUACAUUGUUCUCACCCGACAUGGACAGCCGCCUAUACAGCAACACGUGCACUCAUAGUAUAGUUCAAGUCAAACUAAGUCAUGAAAAACCCAGAUAAACCCUCUUGACACAGGAAGUCCAUGUCUGCAUCUUCCUCUUCCUCUCCCUCACACAAAAUGGCGGGCCUCUGUCCACAUCGCACCACUCUCUUCUUCAUUCUGUUUGUUGUUGUCACCAGCCUCCAGUACCUUCAUGUGAGAGGGUGCACCACCCCGUCACACAGGUAGCAUGCAGGUACCCACGCAAGGACUUGUUCGUACUAACACUCAAGCAAACAGCAAACACCAGCUCUGUCAGAAGUGCAGACAUCACGGACACCUGUAGCGGCGACAUGAUGUUCUCAGCCUGCACUUUUGAUGACACCUGUGUCACGGUCAAAGCCCUCGUCGUGGGUCAAGGUUCUGAAGAAUUUCGUGUGUUUGAGUGUAAAGCUACACUAAAGGUGAACUCUGAGUCAAGAGAGAUACCUGUCGGUCAAAUCAACAUUACUGUUGGAGGACCAUCAACACCCACAUACACCACCACAGGGACUGAUGGUAAGCAGACACUGGACACGUGGUUUGGGGCAACUGGACCCCACUUAACCCUCUGACAGCCGUGGAAUUGUUAUAGUGUUAACAAACCAGACCUUCUAGCCAUUCGUUUCAGGAUGAAAACGCAGACAAUGGAGAAUGAAAUGCCUUCUUCAUUCAAACACCAAAAUCAAUGUCAUUAACAUGCACCACAAAUUAUAAUUAUAAUGACCAAACAUAGUAAUGUUACAAAACGAUACAAAGAGUUUGUAUCACAAGAUUUGGUCAGACUUUUCUUGCUAAAUAUGAAAAAAACUGAAAAUAUAUUGUUUGGAUGAGGCCUACAUUCUGUUACUCUUACAAAAGUCAAGAUUAUUCAGGACGAAAAAAAUCUGACGACUGUCGAAGUGACAUCCAAGCUCUACAUGAACUCCACAUGAACUCCACAUUAACAUCACCACAACAACCACGAGUCUCUAACUUUCUCGUUACUCCAUGUCGGGCUCAAGAAGCAACUCUGUCGCUGUCCUGGCAACGGAGUUGUAUCCCGUGCAGCUGCUGAAGGCUGGGAAGGUGAUGGAGCUGGUGUAUUCUCCCCAGAAUACAUUCUUCUUUCACAGAUUUUCCAAGUCCAACAAAUUCCUCGCUCAGUUUCAUCAGGAGGACUCGCCGCGUUGCCACCCGGGGUAUAGAGAGGUCCAAACGAUGUAGUCAUUGAGGCAAUGGUAUCCUCCCUGUUGUAGACUACCGUCGGCCAUCUUCUUGUCUGUCGUCUCGUGGUGUGGCAGUGAACCACUUGGUUCGUUGUGUGGAUGUCACCUUUUGUCUUGUAGUCCAGCAUCAACGGAGGCUUUUCUCUGCCGUGGUGUUGAUAAGAAUGGUGAGGGAAGCCUCUCAGCAGCAAGUUUGUCUCCCAGCCCAAAGCUAGUGAAGAACUUGUCCCUCGCUACAUCCCUUCCACUGUUUUGUCACCAGAAUCAUGUCCAACACAACUCUUUCUCCCUGGUUGUGUUCUCUUGGUUGAUGAGGUUGUCUUCCCCUAACCGGACAGUUCUAAACAUCCAACGUGGUGGUGUCACAGCAGACCCACAGUUGUACCCCAUGUUUCCCUGGCUUGCUGGCAAUGUCUUGUGAGAAAGGACACCCGCUCCUAAAGACGACUGAUUCUUCAUCAUCAGUCACAUUUUCUGAGAGUUGGUAACAUUCUUUUCUGCCCAAACAUCAAAUAUUUCAGAGACUGGUGGGAGCUUUGCCUCGGGUCACCUUUGACAUCGUUCAUCAACUCCAAGCACUUCCCUCACCUGCACGAGUCUGGCUUUGAGCAUCGCUUGUGGGAAAAAUAGUUUUCUUGGCUUCUUGCUCCACAGCUGUUCUCUUGGCUCACCGAUGAGUCCGGCACUAAAGUGUAAAAGUCAAGAAAUUUGAAAAUGUUGAGAAAACCAAUUCGCGUUUUGUAAAUUGUGAAACUUCGGUUGAAGUCGGUAUGGACCCCAACGGCCGUUAAAGGGUUAAUAAGUCUUUUUUCUUUCUCUAUCUCUCUUUCGUUUCUCUCACUAUUUCUUUUUUCUCAAACGUUGAACUGUGGGGAGACAACUGCUUACAGGACGGCGCCCACCCCCCGCUGCUACGUCUGUGAGUGGCUCACUGUUGACACACAACCUGCUGCAGGCCUGCUAGGCGGUGACGGCCAGAGUUAACACGGAUGUUCUGGUUGGCAAUCGUGUCGAUGUUGAGAUGUGACAAAGUUGCGGACGAUAAUCGAGAGAACAAAACUGACGAGAGAGACGAGGCCAGCGCGCACAAUGGUGGACGGCCUCGUGCCGCUGACAGCAGGGUAAACAGUUUACACACAAUGGUUGACUGGAGGUAAACAGUUUACACACAAUGGUUUACUGGAGGUAUACAGUUUACACACAAUGGUGGACUACAGGUAAACAGUUUACACACAAUGGUGGACUGGAGGUAAACAGUUUACACACAAUGGUGGACUGGAGGUAAACAGUUUACACACAAUGGUGGACUGGAGGUAAACAGUUUACUAACAAUGGUGGACUGGAGGUAAACAGUUUACUAACAAUGGUGGACUGGAGGUAAACAGUUUACACACAAUGGUGGACUGGAGGUAAGCAGUUUACACACAAUGGUGGACUGGAGGUAAACAGUUUACACACAAUGGUUGACAGCAGGGUAAACAGUUUACUCACAACAAUAAAGUUGUUUGACAACAUUGUGAUAAAGUACUCAGUAACUCGAUAGUGAUUAUGAGUUUGUGAGCAUUUGAAUAAUAGUGUGUGUGUGUGUGCGCUCGCGCGUGUGUGUGUGUUCGCGCAUUCACGUGUGUGUGUGUUUCUCUCUGUCCACAUGUUAAUCUAGUGAACGAGUCAGCCAAAGACUUCACAGGAACAUGCGACUCCCGUGAUGCCCCGCGAGCAGCGGUUAUCGUUCUUGUCCUGCUGCUCAUUGUCUUCAUGGUCAUCAGUGCUGUCCUCGUCAUCAAAAUACACAGACGCACCAACACGCCCUGCCCAUGUCACGUGACCAGGCUGUGUGCGGGUGGACUGCCAGUCAGCCUGUAGGACUCGAGAACGACUCCAACACCCAACACCUGGAGAAUUCCACCCCCAGGUACCACAAGUACCGGGGACCGCCACCCGCCAGCCCAGCCCCCCGUGCACCCGGCAAAAGUCACGUGAUGGACUACCAGGACCAACUGGACCUGUCGUCGGCUAACACCUCACAGACUCUAGCAGGUACAACCGAGGAACUGUGCCAGUAUCAGACACCCUGGGGUCAGGGUCAGAAGGUCUUUCCGCCCCAGUAAAUACCAGCCAGUGACAUGUCAGCCUCACCAGCCACCUGUCUCAGAAAGAGACACAAAAGAAACCCUGGAGACACACACUGGCAUUUCAAACUCAACAGAAACCCUGUCUGCGCAUGUGCAUCUCAUCUAAAGAAAAGGGAGGCGGUCCUCUUCUGUGUUUUGACAUCAUGUCCUUCAGAAGGGGGUUGAGUUGCUUCAUGUCAUCUCUUCCCACUUGAGAGGAUGACUGUGACUCUAAGGUUGGAUAUUGUACAUAAUGUUUACACAAACCCUCCUUUAACACACCUGGGUAAUGUGUCACCUAGUGUCACUAAGUUGUCACCUAGUGUCACUAGGUUCUGCCAGAAAGAGUUGUCCUCUCAGACACGUGGCUCACAUGAAGACUAUUUGAAGGCAUGUAUUAGGAUGGUCGAUCCAUUCCCUUCACAAAUCACGGGCUACCCCUAACCUCUCACACCACUCCUAUAAGGGACUAUCUUUACCUUAGUGAUGUCCUCAAGUUUACAGCCACUCAGAGCUUACACCCUGCUGCGACUAACGAGGUCCAUCUGAUGAUCUUAGGGAGCACUCACCUGGUCCUUAUCAAUUGCCAGUCAAGGAGCAAAGGAUAAACAAACAUUUUAUAAUGAAAUGGAUAUUUUUAGUAACCGAAAGCUGCACACAUUGUAGUGUACCAGAGCAUGAGGACGAUGACAGACGAUGUCAACAACAACAGAAGACAAGUUGUGUGCCUGUGAGAAGAGGAUACAUCUAAUGACAGGGAGCAUCUCCUUUGCUUGAGAUGGCGAACCCUGCCGACCCCUCCUUAUCAUCAUCAGGCAGCUUAGUCUGCCAGCCUGAAAGAACGAAGGAAAAGAAAGAGCAAACCCCUUUCUUGGACUGUGUGGAGGAUCUACUUUAUCAUGAGUGAAUGAGUGUAUGAGUGAAUGAGUGAAUUAGUGUGUGAGUGAGUGAGUGAGUGAGUGAGUGAGUGAGUGUGUGAGUGAGUGAGUGCAUGAGUGAAUGAGUGUGUGAGUGAGUGAGUGAAUUAG